AAAUAAUUUUACACUAUUUAUCAUCAAAGAUUUUCCAUAUGUUAGGCAUUUUUUGAAUUUUCCUAGUAGAAUUUGAUGGUUAAGGCACAGAGUCCGGCACUAAUAGUGGCAACUGGCAUCCGUUGACGGCCAUUCAGAUUCGAACUUAAAUGCUUCAGAGUUCAGAAUCCAUCACCACCGCAGUUCACGCCUUUCUUUC
rnacentral:lncRNA from 1 species